GCCAGGAGGGAGUAGGAGGUGGAGGGGAAGGAAGGGUCGUGGUGGUGGUGGUGGUGGGUCGUGUGAGGUACGUGGGUUUCAUGUGGUGUGGUGUGGUGUGGUGUGGUUGAGGUUGGUUGAGUUAAGUUGGAUUGGGUUGGUUUGAGUUACGUUUUGGUUUAAGAGAGUUAGGUCAUGUUGGGAUGGGUCAGGUCAGGGUGGGUUAUGUCAUGUUACGUUAGGUUAGGUUAGAAUAGGUUACAGUGUGUUGAUAAUUUAGAAGUUAGAAUGUGUUAUGUUACGUUAGGUUAGGUUAGGUUAGGUUAGGUUAGGUUAGGUUAGGUUAGGUUAGGUUAUGUUAGGUUAUGUUAGGUUAGGUUAGGUUAGGUUAUGUUGGAUUAGGUUAGGUUAGGUUAGGUUAGGUUGGGUUAGGUUAGGUUAUGUUAGGUUAGGUUAGGUUAGGUUAGGUUAGGUUAGGUUAGGUUGGGUUAGGUUAGGUUAGGUUAGGUUGGGUUAGGUUAGGUUAGGUUAGGUUAGGUACGUCAAGGUAUUUAAAGUGUGUUGGGAAUAUGUUAGGGUGUGGUAGAGUGCGUUAGGGUGUUUUUAGGGUGAGUCGAAUAUCGUUGAGGUGUAUCAUGAUUUAUUAGGGUGAGGGAUUAAGACAGGAUUAGGUCAGAAGGGGUCAAAUUAGGGUGUUAGAGUGAGUUUAGGGUGCGUUAGAGUGAUUUCAGGGUGUAUUAGAGUGAGUUUGUUACGUUCAAGUUUGUCAGGGUGUGUUAGGAUCAGGAAAGAGAGUUUAAAUGAGUUUAGGAUGAGUUAGGGUGUGUUAGGGUGAGUUAGUUUGGUUAAAGUUUGUUAGGGUGAGUUAGGAUUAGCAAAGGGAGAU